AGCGAACGCUGGCGGCAGGCCUAACACAUGCAAGUCGAGCGGGCGUAGCAAUGCGUCAGCGGCAGACGGGAGAGUAACACGUGGGAACGUGCCCUUUGGUUCGGAAUAACUCAGGGAAACUUGAGCUAAUACCGGAUAAGCCCUUCGGGGGAAAGAUUUAUUGCCAUUGGAGCGGCCCGCGUCGGAUUAGCUAGUUGGUGAGGUAAUGGCUCACCAAGGCGACGAUCCGUAGCUGGUCUGAGAGGAUGACCAGCCUCACUGGGACUGAGGCACGGCCCAGACUCCUACGGGAGGCAGCAGUGGGGAAUAUUGGACAAUGGGCGAAAGCCUGAUCCAGCAAUGCCGCGUGAGUGAUGAAGGCCUUAGGGUUGUAAAGCUCUUUUACCAGGGAUGAUAAUGACAGUACCUGGAGAAUAAGCUCCGGCUAACUCCGUGCCAGCAGCCGCCGUAACAC
rnacentral:rRNA from 1 species